CCUACGGGAGGCAGCAGUAAGGAAUAUUGGUCAAUGGACGAAAGUCUGAACCAGCCAUGCCGCGUGAAGGAUUAAGGCCCUCUGGGUUGUAAACUUCUUUUAUCUGGGACGAAAAAAGGGUAUUCUUACUCACUUGACGGUACCAGAGGAAUAAGCACCGGCUAACUCCGUGCCAGCAGCCGCGGUAAUACGGAGGGUGCAAGCGUUAUCCGGAUUUACUGGGUUUAAAGGGUGCGUAGGUGGGCUUGUAAGUCAGUGGUGAAAUCUCCGGGCUUAACCCGGAAACUGCCAUUGAUACUAUAGGUCUUGAAUUAUCUGGAGGUAAGCGGAAUAUGUCAUGUAGCGGUGAAAUGCUUAGAUAUGACAUAGAACACCAAUUGCGAAGGCAGCUUACUACGGAUAUAUUGACACUGAGGCACGAAAGCGUGGGGAUCAAACAGGAUUAGAUACCCUGGUAGUCCACGCCCUAAACGAUGGAUACUCGACAUCAGCGAUACACUGUUGGUGUNUGAGCGAAGACAUAAGUAUCCACCNCGGAGUACGANCGCAGAGUAGUAAACGUUAAAGUAGUAAGUUAGUACGGACGUGUAGACGUCGACCGAACGGACGACGACGAGGGAGGAGGAG
rnacentral:rRNA from 1 species